CCUACGGGAGGCAGCAGUGAGGAAUAUUGGUCAAUGGGCGCUAGCCUGAACGAGCCAAGUAGCGUGAAGGAUGACUGCCCUCUGGGUUGUAAGCUUCUUUUAUAUGGGAAUAAAGUGCAGUAUGUAUACUGCUUUUCAUGUACCUUAUGAAUCAGGAUCGGCUAACUCCGUGCCAGCAGCCGCGGUAAUACGGAGGAUACGAGCGUUAUCCGGAUUUAUUGGGUUUAAAGGGAGCGUAGGCGGGUUGCUAAGUCAGUUGUGAAAGUUUGCGGCUCAACCGUAAAAGUGCAGUUGAUACUGGCAGCCUUGAGUACAGUAGAGGUAGGCGGAAUUCGUGGUGUAGCGGUGAAAUGGUUAGAUAUCACGAAGAACUCCGAUUGCGAAGGCAGCCUGCUGGACUGUAACUGACGCUGAUGCUCGAAAGUGUGGGUAUCAAACAGGAUUAGAUACCCCUGUAGUC
rnacentral:rRNA from 1 species